UACGUAGGUGGCAAGCGUUGUCCGGAAUUAUUGGGCGUAAAGCGCGCGCAGGCGGCCUCUUAAGUCUGAUGUGAAAGCCCCCGGCUCAACCGGGGAGGGCCAUUGGAAACUGGGAGGCUUGAGUAUAGGAGAGAAGAGUGGAAUUCCACGUGUAGCGGUGAAAUGCGUAGAGAUGUGGAGGAACACCAGUGGCGAAGGCGACUCUUUGGCCUAUAACUGGCGCUGAGGCGCGAAAGCGUGGGGAGCAAACAGG
rnacentral:rRNA from 1 species